rnacentral:rRNA from 1 species
CCACCUUUGACAUGUACGGAAUUUGCCAGAGAUGGCUUAGUGCUCGAAAGAGAACCGUAACACAGGUGCUGCAUGGCUGUCGUCAGCUCGUGUCGUGAGAUGUUGGGUUAAGUCCCGCAACGAGCGCAACCCUUGUCAUUAGUUGCUACAUUUAGUUGGGCACUCUAAUGAGACUGCCGGUGACAAACCGGAGGAAGGUGGGGAUGACGUCAAGUCCUCAUGGCCCUUAUAGGUGGGGCUACACACGUCAUACAAUGGCUGGUACAGAGGGUUGCCAACCCGCGAGGGGGAGCUAAUCCCACAAAACCAGUCGUAGUCCGGAUCGCAGUCUGCAACUCGACUGCGUGAAGUCGGAAUCGCUAGUAAUCGCGGAUCAGAAUGUCGCGGUGAAUACGUUCCC